AGAGUUUGAUCCUGGCUCAGGACGAACGCUGGCGGCACGCUUAACACAUGCAAGUCGAACGAGAGAAGAGAAGCUUGCUUUUCUGAUCUAGUGGCGGACGGGUGAGUAACACGUGAGCAAUCUGCCUUUCAGAGGGGGAUACCGAUUGGAAACGAUCGUUAAUACCGCAUAACAUAAUUGAACCGCAUGAUUUGAUUAUCAAAGAUUUAUCGCUGAAAGAUGAGCUCGCGUCUGAUUAGCUAGUUGGUAAGGUAACGGCUUACCAAGGCGACGAUCAGUAGCCGGACUGAGAGGUUGAUCGGCCACAUUGGGACUGAGACACGGCCCAGACUCCUACGGGAGGCAGCAGUGGGGAAUAUUGCACAAUGGAGGAAACUCUGAUGCAGCGAUGCCGCGUGAGGGAAGAAGGUUUUAGGAUUGUAAACCUCUGUCUUCAGGGACGAAAAAUGACAGUACCUGAGGAGGAAGCUCCGGCUAACUACGUGCCAGCAGCCGCGGUAAUACGUAGGGAGCGAGCGUUGUCCGGAAUUACUGGGUGUAAAGGGAGCGUAGGCGGGAUCGCAAGUCAGAUGUGAAAACUAUGGGCUUAACCCAUAAACUGCAUUUGAAACUGUGGUUCUUGAGUGAAGUAGAGGUAAGCGGAAUUCCUAGUGUAGCGGUGAAAUGCGUAGAUAUUAGGAGGAACAUCAGUGGCGAAGGCGGCUUACUGGGCUUUAACUGACGCUGAGGCUCGAAAGCGUGGGGAGCAAACAGGAUUAGAUACCCUGGUAGUCCACGCCGUAAACGAUGAUUACUAGGUGUGGGGGGACUGACCCCUUCCGUGCCGCAGCAAACGCAAUAAGUAAUCCACCUGGGGAGUACGACCGCAAGGUUGAAACUCAAAGGAAUUGAC
rnacentral:rRNA from 1 species